rnacentral:rRNA from 1 species
UACGGAAGGUCCAAGCGUUAAUCGGAAUUACUGGGCGUAAAGCGCGCGUAGGUGGUUUAUUAAGUUGGGUGUGAAAGCCCCGGGCUCAACCUGGGAACUGCAUCCAAAACUGAUUCACUAGAGUACGAAAGAGGAAAGUAGAAUUCACAGUGUAGCGGUGGAAUGCGUAGAUAUUGUGAAGAAUACCGAUGGCGAAGGCAGCUUUCUGGUUCUGUACUGACACUGAGGUGCGAAAGCGUGGGUAGCGAACAGG